AUACGGAGGGAGCAAGCGUUGUUCGGAUUUACUGGGCGUAAAGCGUACGUAGGUGGCGCAGCAAGUCGGGAGUGAAAUCCCACGGCUCAACCGUGGAAGUGCUUUCGAAACUGCUGUGCUAGAGGAUGAGAGGGGAAGGCGGAAUUCCAGGUGUAGCGGUGAAAUGCACAGAUAUCUGGAGGAACACCGGUGGCGAAGGCGGCCUUCUGGAUCAUACCUGACACUGAGGUACGAAAGCGUGGGGAGCGAACAGGAUUAGAUACCCUAGUAGUCC
rnacentral:rRNA from 1 species